CAGUCGCCACGGUAAUACGAAGGGUGCAAGCGUUAAUCGGAAUUACUGGGCGUAAGGCGUGCGUAGGCGGUUUGUUAAGUCUGCUGUGAAAUCCCCGGGCUCAACCUGGGAAUGGCAGUGGAUACUGGCAAGCUAGAGUGUGUCAGAGGAUGGUGGAAUUCCCGGUGUAGCGGUGAAAUGCGUAGAGAUCGGGAGGAACAUCAGUGACGAAGGCGGCCAUCUGGGACAACACUGACGCUGAGGCACGAAAGCGUGGGGAGCAAACAGGAUUAGAUACCCCAGUAGUCCCUGUCUCUUAUAC
rnacentral:rRNA from 1 species